ACACUCCAAAUUUAUUACUAAAUCGGUAUGUGUGACACUAAUAAAAACAACCAAAGUACAUCAUUUUCCCCAUAAAAUCCAAUUAAACAUUGUUAUUUUUGUGUUCAAAGAUUUCACCUUUUUUGCCUUUUCUUCAAUAACCACAAUUUUUCUCUCGAUGAUUUUCUUGAAAAUCUGAUUUUCUUAUACUUUCUUUGUGGUUGUUCGUUGAUAUCCUUAUUAGCAUAAAAAGGUUUAUUUGAAGGGUAUUCAUUAGAUUUGUAUAAAAAGAAUAUGCACAGAUUUGUGUAUUUUCUGAAAAUGGUUAGGUUUUUUGCUGAUCGUUUGUUGAGUUUUCGCGAUCUGAAGGAAGGGAUUUUGUUGAUUUUCAGCUUGAGGCUAUUGAAAAUUGGGAGGAAACAAUUGAUGAUAUCAUCAAUAAUUUUGAGAAACAACACCAACGGAAGCUCCUGGACAACAUUUUCUACUACUAAAAGGGUGCCGAUAUUAUAGUAUUGAUGGAACUACUAGUUGUUUGAUAUCCAAUUUGGCUGCUGAUAUGUUGGGAAUGCAUCACCAUUUUGUGUAAACCUUCCCAGUUAUGGCAAGUGAAGAAAAAAUUGCUCAAAAAAAGUUGCUACCCAUAUCUUGUUUUUGAUAAUUUUGAAGUUGGGUUGUGAAUUUUUUUUUAAAAUUUUGAUAUUUUUAUACACUUUGUUUAAGGUUGUUUUUGUUUUAAGAUUGAAAUUUUGGAAGUUGAUGGCCAUGGCUAUUGUUGAGGGGACUGACGA